rnacentral:rRNA from 1 species
UACGAAGGGUGCAAGCGUUAAUCGGAAUUACUGGGCGUAAAGCGUGCGCAGGCGGUUCGGAAAGUAAGAUGUGAAAUCCCAGGGCUUAACCUUGGAACUGCAUUUUUAACUGCCGGGCUAGAGUAUGUCAGAGGGGGGUAGAAUUCCACGUGUAGCAGUGAAAUGCGUAGAGAUGUGGAGGAAUACCGAUGGCGAAGGCAGCCCCCUGGGAUAAUACUGACGCUCAUGCACGAAAGCGUGGGGAGCAAACAGG